rnacentral:rRNA from 1 species
UACGUAGGUGGCAAGCGUUGUCCGGAUUUACUGGGCGUAAAGGGCGUGCAGGCGGUUUGUUAAGUCUAGGGUGAAAGCUCCCGGCUCAACUGGGAGAGGUCCUUGGAUACUGGCAGACUUGAGGAGGGUAGAGGAGAGUGGAAUUCCCGGUGUAGUGGUGAUAUGCGUAGAUAUCGGGAGGAAUACCAGUGGCGAAGGCGGCUCUCUGGGCCCUACCUGACGCUGAGACGCGAAAGCGUGGGGAGCGAACCGG